GUGGUGUGGAGGCUUUGUUCUUUCAUUCUUUGCAAUAGAGCUUGCUGCUGAUCACUUUUUGGGUCCACACUGCCUUUAUGAGCUGUAAUACUCACUGAGAAGGUCUGUAGCUUCACUCCUGAAGCCAGCGAGGCCACGAACCCACCGGGAGAAAAGAACAACUCCAGACGCCCCGCCUUAAGAGCUGUAACAUUCACCGCGAAGGUCUGCAGCUUUACUCCUGAAGCCAUCCAGACCACGAACCCACCAGAAGGAAGAAACUCCGAACACAUCGGAGCAUCAGAAGGAACAAACUCCAGACACGCCACUUUUAAGAACUGUAACACUCACUGCGAGGGUCCGCAGCUUCGUUCUUGAAGUCAGUGAGACCAAGACCCCACCAAUUCCGGACACAGUUCUAGCUACUCCAAAGGCUGAGGCGGGAAGAUCCCUUGAACCCAGAAUUUCGAGGUUACAGAUGCCCAAGAACAGAGAUUUAUUUGGCUCAUGGUUCUGGUGGCUGGGAAGUCCAAGACUGAGAGGCUGGCAAGGGACUUCUUGCUGUGUGAUCUCAUGGCAGAAGACAGGAUUGCUCUGUUGCCCAAGCUGGAGUGCAGUGGUGUGAUCAUGGCUUACUGCAGCCUUGACCUUCCAGGCUCAAACGAUCCUCCCACCUCAGCCUCCUGAGUAGCUGGAACUACAGGCACAUGCCACCACGCCCAGGUUCAAGGAGAAUACCUGGCACAUAGCAGACUUCCAGUAAAUACUUGAAAUACAAAUAUGGG